GUAGUUGACGACGUGUGUUCAGUGAAAUCGAGUAGGGCGGGACACGUGAUAUCCUGUCUGAAUAUGGGGGGACCAUCCUCCAAGGCUAAAUACUACUGACUGACCGAUAGUGAACCAGUACCGUGAGGGAAAGGCGAAAAGAACCCCUGUGAGGGGAGUGAAAUAGAACCUGAAACCGUGUACGUACAAGCAGUAGGAGCAGGCUUGUCCUGUGACUGCGUACCUUUUGUAUAAUGGGUCAGCGACUUAUAUUCAGUGGCAAGGUUAACCAUCUAGGGGAGCCGUAGGGAAACCGAGUCUUAACUGGGCGUUCAGUCUCUGGAUAUAGACCCGAAACCAGGUGAUCUAGCCAUGGGCAGGUUGAAGGUUGAGUAACAUCAACUGGAGGACCGAACCGACUAAUGUUGAAAAAUUAGCGGAUGACUUGUGGCUAGGGGUGAAAGGCCAAUCAAACCUGGAGAUAGCUGGUUCUCCCCGAAAGCUAUUUAGGUAGCGCCUCGGACGAAUACUACUGGGGGUAGAGCACUGUUAAGGCUAGGGGGUCAUCCCGACUUACCAACCCUUUGCAAACUCCGAAUACCAGUAAGUACUAUCCGGGAGACACACGGCGGGUGCUAACGUCCGUCGUGGAGAGGGAAACAACCCAGACCGCCAGCUAAGGUCCCAAAUUACUACUAAGUGGGAAACGAUGUGGGAAGGCUCAGACAGCCAGGAUGUUGGCUUAGAAGCAGCCAUCAUUUAAAGAAAGCGUAAUAGCUCACUGGUCGAGUCGGCCUGCGCGGAAGAUGUAACGGGGCUAAGUAGUAAACCGAAGCUGCGGCAAUAUACUUUUGUAUAUUGGGUAGGGGAGCGUUCUGUAAGCGGUUGAAGGUGUGUGGUAACGCAUGCUGGACGUAUCAGAAGUGCGAAUGCUGACAUGAGUAACGAUAAAGGGGGUGAAAAACCUCCUCGCCGGAAGACCAAGGGUUCCUGUCCAACGUUAAUCGGGGCAGGGUAAGUCGACCCCUAAGGCGAGGCCGAAAGGCGUAGUCGAUGGGAAACGGGUUAAUAUUCCCGUACUUCUUACAAUUGCGAUGGGGGGACGGAGAAGGCUAGGUGGGCCUGGCGACGGUUGU
rnacentral:rRNA from 1 species